rnacentral:rRNA from 1 species
AUUGAACGCUGGCGGCAGGCCUCACACAUGCAAGUCGAACGAGUGGCGGACGGGUGAGUAAUGUCUGGGAAACUUCCUGAUGGCGGGGGAUAACUACUGGAAACGGUAGCUAAUACCGCAUACCCUCAGAUGUGCCCCGAUGGGAUUAGCUUGUUGGUGGGGUAACGGCUCACCAAGGCGACGAUCCCUAGCUGGUCUGAGAGGAUGACCAGCCACACGGGAACUGAGACACGGUCCAGACUCCGACGGGAGGCAGAAGUGGGGAAUAGUGCACAAUGGGCGCAAGCCUGAUGCAGCCAUGCCGCGUGUAUGAAGAAGGCCUGCGGGUUGUAAAGUACUUGCAGCGGGGAGGCGUUACCCGCAGAAGAAGCACCGGCUAACUCCGUGCCAGCAGCCGCGGUAAUUC